rnacentral:rRNA from 1 species
CUACGGGAUGCUGCAGUGGAGAAUAUUGGACAAUGGGGGAAACCCUGAUCCAGCAACGCCGCGUGGAGGAUGACGCAUUUCGGUGUGUAAACUCCUUUUAUGUGUCAAGAAAAUGACGGUAGCAUAUGAAUAAGCACCGGCUAACUCCGUGCCAGCAGCCGCGGUAAUACGGAGGGUGCAAGCGUUACUCGGAAUCACUGGGCGUAAAGGACGCGUAGGCGGGUUGGAAAGUCAGGUGUGAAAUCCUACAGCUUAACUGUAGAACUGCACUUGAAACUUCUAAUCUAGAGUAUGGGAGGGGGAGAUGGAAUUAGUGGUGUAGGGGUAAAAUCCGUAGAUAUCACUAGGAAUACCUAAAGCGAAGGCGAUCUCCUGGAGCAUUACUGACGCUAAGGCGUGAAAGCGUGGGGAGCAAACAGGAUUAGAUACCCCCGUAGUC